CCUACGGGUGGCAGCAGUGAGGAAUAUUGGUCAAUGGGCGAGAGCCUGAACCAGCCAAGUCGCGUGAGGGAGUACUGCCCUAUGGGUUGUAAACCUCUUUUGUCGGGGAGCAAAAGCCGGACGUGUCCGGCUGUGAGAGUACCCGAAGAAAAAGCAUCGGCUAACUCCGUGCCAGCAGCCGCGGUAAUACGUAGGGGGCAAGCGUUAUCCGGAUUUACUGGGUGUAAAGGGAGCGUAGACGGUUAUGUAAGUCUGGAGUGAAAGCCCGGGGCCCAACCCCGGGACUGCUUUGGAAACUGUGUAACUGGAGUACAGGAGGGGCAGGCGGAAUUGCUGGUGUAGCGGUGAAAUGCGUAGAUAUCAGGAGGAACACCGGCGGCGAAGGCGGCCUGCUGGACUGAAACUGACGUUGAGGCUCGAAAGCGUGGGGAGCAAACAGGAUUAGAUACCCCUGUAGUC
rnacentral:rRNA from 1 species